UCCUUCCGCCCUUCUGGGGACAUAAAGGACUUCAGGAAUGCUCGAUAGAGGGAUGGUUUUGCAACAUGACUGUGUAAACAGAGCUCAAGGAUGGCUCUGCAUUUAUCCUUCUUGAUUCUGGUGUUGUCUUCACAACCAACACGAGCUGUGCAUUUGCUAAUGGAUGCUUAUGCUGAGGUUUGCAUCUGUCAACAAAAUCUGGGUUCCUAAGAGCAUGGAUAUAAAACCAACAUAAAUUAUCUUGACUUUGCAGUCACAGCUGUCCACAGGGUCCAAAGCCGAUGCACAAUCCUGGUCUCUGUCCUUUGCUCUGCCUUGUGGACUCCACACACCAGGGCUGUGGGUUUCUUUUCGAGGGGCUUGGGUGCAGAAGAGAAGCUGGAAGGGGCCCGCAGUUCUCCAGCUGUCUCUGCAGAACCCGUCUGAGGCUGACGUCUGUCCUGAGGUUCAGAAUGGCUGCCAAGCCAUGGCUGAACCAGGGUGAGCAUGGUGGAAACUUCCGGUUGGUUCUGGGCAUCUCACACUCUCCUUGCAUCACUUGUGUGCUCAGCAUUUGCCGGCUGCUCACCUUUGAAAGGGGGUGGAAUGGAGAAGAGAAGGUCCUGGGUCCAGAAGCUCUGGCAAGUCUCACCUGUGCUUUCUGUGGGAAAUCCCACCUCCCAGCCCUUCCUGUUUUCUUUCUCCGCCCUUCCCACCUCUUCUGAGGGAAGAAAAGUGCAGGGAGGGGCCUUCUGUCUGAACUUCUGCAGUUUUCUUCUUUUCCUCAUUGCUCCUUUUACUUUCAUGUUAUUUAUUGACCACACAGUGUUUGGGCCUCUGAGGCCCUGCUUGCUGAGGGCUGGUCUGUCCUUUAAAAAUGCUUACAAGAAGGAUGAAGAGAUAAAAGCUCAUAAACCGAAAAGAAGUCACGUGCAUGGUGGAAUGGUGGAAUCUGUUCAGAAUCACAGAGCUGCACCCUGCACUGUGGAUCAGGGAAGUGUGUGCUCUGAGAUGGAUGUGGUCCUGUGCCUCCAACAUCCUCCCUGCUCCCCACCUCCUGCCCUGGUUGCAGGGGGUGUCUCUGUGCUCAGCCACAGUCCACUCUGAGCCUGUAUAGUUUCUUCCUCAGAAACAUACAAUUUAGGCUGACCUACAGUUUAAUGUGUAAAAGAAGAGAUGGUCGAUGACCAGUGCCCCACUGUAGUAAUAAAAUGUCUAGACAGCAAUUAACACUCAUUUCCCCUAAGAAUGUCACUGCGUCAUCAGAAAAUCUCGACUGCUUUAAAAGGAAGCAGUCUAGGUAUAUUUCAUCAUUAAUCAAUUUCUAAAUCUGAUCAGAAUUUGCACAGGUUGCAGUCGUAGGACCAGACCUGCCCCCACUCCCAGCGCCUCUGGGCCCCUUACCUGGGGUCCGAGCGUCCCUCAUCCUGGCAAACAGGGCUGGAGAUUUGUUUGGGA
rnacentral:lncRNA from 1 species